rnacentral:rRNA from 1 species
GGUGCUAAUACCGCAUAACCAUAGUUACCGCAUGGUACCUAUGUAAAAGGUGGCUAUGCUACCGCUUUUGGAUGGGCCCGCGGCGCAUUAGCUAGUUGGUGGGGUAAAGGCUUACCAAGGCAAUGAUGCGUAGCCGAACUGAGAGGUUGAUCGGCCACAUUGGGACUGAGACACGGCCCAAACUCCUACGGGAGGCAGCAGUAGGGAAUCUUCCACAAUGGGCGAAAGCCUGAUGGAGCAACGCCGCGUGGGUGAAGAAGGUCUUCGGAUCGUAAAACCCUGUUGUUAGAGAAGAAAGUGCGUGAGAGUAACUGUUCACGUUUCGACGGUAUCUAACCAGAAAGCCACGGCUAACUACGUGCCAGCAGCCGCGGUAAUACGUAGGUGGCAAGCGUUAUCCGGAUUUAUUGGGCGUAAAGGGAACGCAGGCGGUCUUUUAAGUCUGAUGUGAAAGCCUUCGGCUUAACCGGAGUAGUGCAUUGGAAACUGGGAGACUUGAGUGCAGAAGAGGAGAGUGGAACUCCAUGUGUAGCGGUGAAAUGCGUAGAUAUAUGGAAGAACACCAGUGGCGAAAGCGGCUCUCUGGUCUGUAACUGACGCUGAGGUUCGAAAGCGUGGGUAGCAAACAGGAUUAGAUACCCUGGUAGUCCACGCCGUAAACGA